UACGGAAGGCAGCAGUGGGGAAUAUUGCACAAUGGGCGCAAGCCUGAUGCAGCCAUGCCGCGUGUAUGAAGAAGGCCUUCGGGUUGUAAAGUACUUUCAGUCGUGAGGAAGGUGUUAAGGUUAAUAACCUUAGCAAUUGACGUUAGCGACAGAAGAAGCACCGGCUAACUCCGUGCCAGCAGCCGCGGUAAUACGGAGGGUGCGGGCGUUAAUCGGAAUUACUGGGCGUAAAGGGCACGCAGGCGGUUAAUUAAGUUGGAUGUGAAAUCCCCGGGCUUAACCUGGGAAUGGCAUUCAAGACUGGUUAGCUAGAGUCUUGUAGAGGGGGUAGAAUUCCAUGUGUAGCGGUGAAAUGCGUAGAGAUGUGGAGGAAUACCGGUGGCGAAGGCGGCCCCUGGACAAGACUGACGCUCAUGUGCGAAAGCGUGGGGAGCAAAC
rnacentral:rRNA from 1 species